UAGAGAAUACCAAGGCGCUUGAGAGAACUCGGGUGAAGGAACUAGGCAAAAUGGUGCCGUAACUUCGGGAGAAGGCACGCUGAUAUGUAGGUGAAGCGACUUGCUCGUGGAGCUGAAAUCAGUCGAAGAUACCAGCUGGCUGCAACUGUUUAUUAAAAACACAGCACUGUGCAAACACGAAAGUGGACGUAUACGGUGUGACGCCUGCCCGGUGCCGGAAGGUUAAUUGAUGGGGUUAGCGGUAACGCGAAGCUCUUGAUCGAAGCCCCGGUAAACGGCGGCCGUAACUAUAACGGUCCUAAGGUAGCGAAAUUCCUUGUCGGGUAAGUUCCGACCUGCACGAAUGGCGUAAUGAUGGCCAGGCUGUCUCCACCCGAGACUCAGUGAAAUUGAACUCGCUGUGAAGAUGCAGUGUACCCGCGGCAAGACGGAAAGACCCCGUGAACCUUUACUAUAGCUUGACACUGAACAUUGAGCCUUGAUGUGUAGGAUAGGUGGGAGGCUUUGAAGUGUGGACGCCAGUCUGCAUGGAGCCGACCUUGAAAUACCACCCUUUAAUGUUUGAUGUUCUAACGUUGGCCCGUAAUCCGGGUUGCGGACAGUGUCUGGUGGGUAGUUUGACUGGGGCGGUCUCCUCCUAAAGAGUAACGGAGGAGCACGAAGGUUGGCUAAUCCUGGUCGGACAUCAGGAGGUUAGUGCAAUGGCAUAAGCCAGCUUGACUGCGAGCGUGACGGCGCGAGCAGGUGCGAAAGCAGGUCAUAGUGAUCCGGUGGUUCUGAAUGGAAGGGCCAUCGCUCAACGGAUAAAAGGUACUCCGGGGAUAACAGGCUGAUACCGCCCAAGAGUUCAUAUCGACGGCGGUGUUUGGCACCUCGAUGUCGGCUCAUCACAUCCUGGGGCUGAAGUAGGUCCCAAGGGUAUGGCUGUUCGCCAUUUAAAGUGGUACGCGAGCUGGGUUUAGAACGUCGUGAGACAGUUCGGUCCCUAUCUGCCGUGGGCGCUGGAGAACUGAGGGGGGCUGCUCCUAGUACGAGAGGACCGGAGUGGACGCAUCACUGGUGUUCGGGUUGUCAUGCCAAUGGCACUGCCCGGUAGCUAAAUGCGGAAGAGAUAAGUGCUGAAAGCAUCUAAGCACGAAACUUGCCCCGAGAUGAGUUCUCCCUGACUCCUUGAGGGUCCUGAAGGAACGUUGAAGACGACGACGUUGAUAGGCCGGGUGUGUAAGCGCAGCGAUGCGUUGAGCUAACCGGUACUAAUGAACCGUGAGGCUUAACCUUACAACGCCGA
rnacentral:rRNA from 1 species